AUAAGACCUUGGAUGCUUGCUGAACUAGGAAGCCAUACUUGGUGAUACUGCGGUGGAUACCAAUGUAUCCAGCUGCCCUGGAUGUCACAGCUGGCAUUUAGUAGAGGACAACCAAGUGAUAUCUUGACACAAAGUGGCACGCCUUUGUUUGGAGGGGGAUGGGAAACUUACUUGUCUUUCUUCCACUGAAGCUCUGUGGCUGUGUCUGCUAGUCUCUGAUCCCAGCCGCUCUUCAAGUCUUCAUCAGACUCCUCUAACAGAGAAAAUCUCCAACUGUUGGCUUAAUGACCACAGAGAAUGGUACUCCACAGGCAGACACAAACGGUGAUGGAUAUUGAGCCACAGGG